rnacentral:rRNA from 1 species
AUUGAACGCUGGCGGCAGGCCUAACACAUGCAAGUCGAGCGGGGCGGCGGAGGGGUGCGGGAGGGCUAGGAAUCGGCCUGGUCGUGGGAGCUAACGUCAAGAAACGGGCGCUAAUGCCGAAUACUCUCAGAUGUGCAUAGGUCGGAUUGGCUAGGUGGUGGGGUAAAGGCCUAGCAAGGCGACGAUCCGUAACUGGUCUGAGAGGAUGAUCAGUCACACUGGAACUGAGACACGGUCCAGACUCCUACGGGAGGCAGCAGUGGGGAAUAUUGGACAAUGGGGGAAAGCCUGAUCCAGCCAUGCCGCGUGUGUGAUGAAGGUCUUCGGAUUGUAAAGCACUUUAGGUUGGGAGGCGUUACCAACAGAAUAAGCACCGGCUAACUUCGUGCCAGCAGCCGCGGUAAUUC